rnacentral:rRNA from 1 species
CGACGAAUCUUCCGCAAUGGGCGCAAGCCUGACGGAGCAAUGCCGCGUGUGGGAUGAAGCAGCUUCGCUGUGUAAACCACUGUCAGGGGGCAGGAACACUGACCGCCCCCAGAGGAAGCACCGGCUAAACUCGUGCCAGCAGCCGCGGUAAUACGAGUGGUGCGAGCGUUAAUCGGAAUUACUGGGCUUAAAGGGUGCGCAGGCGGGCCCGUAAGCAUUCCGUGAAAUCCCCCGGCUCAACCGGGGAACUGCGGGGUGGACUGCGGGUCUUGAGAGAGGUAGGGGCCGACGGAACGAUCGGUGGAGCGGUGAAAUGCGUAGAUAUCGAUCGGAACGCCAAUGGUGAAGACAGUCGGCUGGGCCUUUUCUGACGCUCAUGCACGAAAGCGUGGGGAGCAAACAGGAUUAGAUACCCUGGUAGUCCACGCCGUAAACGAUGCACACUAGAUCGGAGAGGCUCUCACGCCCCUCUGGUCGCAGGAAAACCUA